AGGUCAAGCAAAUCCCAUAAAACCAUUCUCAGUUCGGAUUGCAGGCUGCAACUCGCCUGCAUGAAGCCGGAAUCGCUAGUAAUCGCGGAUCAGCAUGCCGCGGUGAAUACGUUCCCGGGCCUUGUACACACCGCCCGUCACACCACGAGAGUCGGUAACACCCGAAGUCGGUGAGGUAACCUUUUGGAGCCAGCCGCCGAAGGUGGGACCAAUGAUUGGGGUGAAGUCGUAACAAGGUAACCGUAAA
rnacentral:rRNA from 1 species